rnacentral:lncRNA from 1 species
UGCUUUUUUAAUAAAUUGAGAAACAAGCUGUUUUGAGAACUAUUUACCUAUCUAGCUUCUUUACAAAAAAAUAUUCCCUAUCUAGUCUCCUUUUGAAAAAUAUUUCCCAUCUAGCCUCAUCUUCAAAGAUUAGAGAAAAAAAGAGAAAUUAAUUCCUUUAAUAUAUAUUAAGGGGUUAAGUGGAGGAGAUUAUCUUUUUCUCUCUCCUCUUCCAUUAAUUUUUAUAUCAAAAUAAUCUUGAUCCCAUUCGGCCUAUAAAUUUUAUGUUUUAAUGUAUUAAAACCUAAAGUACGAGAAAUCCAAAUAGUUUUGGAUCAGGACCAUUAUAAUCAACUCCUUCCGAACCAUGCAUAAUAUUUCCAUCAAAAUAUAAAAAGAUUGGAAUUGGUUGAUGCGCUAUAUAAAAAUUUUCUAUUUUAAAAUAAAUCGAUAUGAGAUAAAUUAUACGCAAAAAUUAGAGAGUGAGAAGGGAUCUCGGGAAAUAGGAGAGGAGAGAGAAAAAGAUAAUCUCCCCCACUUAACCCCUUAAUAUAUAUUAAAAGUAUUAAUUUUUCUUUUUUUUUCUAAUCUUUGAAAAUGAGGCUAGAUGGGAAAUAUUUUUCAAAAGAAGGCUAGAUAGGGAAUAUUUUUUUGUAAAAAGGCUAGGUAGGUAAAUAGUUCCUGUUUUGAAAUAAUUA